UAGUUAUUAGAAGGAGCUUGAAAAGGUGUUGCGCCUUGACAAAGAAUGAGACUCUCCUGAACUUAUUCAAGGUCUUUCAAAGAGUUCUUAGAGCUUACGCUGCAAAGCUUCUCAUGAAGCUGCCUAAAGGUGGCAUGGGGAUUGUUGCAGCUGCCACGGGUAUGGAUGGACAUAUUAAGACAUCUGAUAAAGAUGAAAGGCUGAUAUGCUAUGUUGUAAAUACGGCAGAAUAUUGUCAUAAAACGG